rnacentral:rRNA from 1 species
CAGCAGCCACGGUAAUACGUAGGUCCCGAGCGUUGUCCGGAUUUAUUGGGCGUAAAGGGAGCGCAGGCGGUCAGGAAAGUCUGGAGUAAAAGGCUAUGGCUCAACCAUAGUGUGCUCUGGAAACUGUCUGACUUGAGUGCAGAAGGGGAGAGUGGAAUUCCAUGUGUAGCGGUGAAAUGCGUAGAUAUAUGGAGGAACACCAGUGGCGAAAGCGGCUCUCUGGUCUGUCACUGACGCUGAGGCUCGAAAGCGUGGGUAGCGAACAGGAUUAGAUACCCCUGUAGUCCCUGUCUCUUAUACC